rnacentral:sRNA from 1 species
GAAGAUACUCCUCGCUCCCAGCGCCUGCCUUCCCCAGGCGUCCGUCCGUGUGCCCGUCUCCGCCUUUCCGCCUCCGAAGAGCGCUCAUCACUGGCUGGAGACAGAGCCGGGCACCAAGGAGCGACAGGAUCCCGAAGAGAGAGAGAGAAGGCAGCGAGGGAAGGAGGACCCCGACAGGCAGCAGCAUGAAAUUCAGCCCAGCGCACUACCUGCUGCCUCUCCUGCCUGCGCUGGUCCUCAGCACCAGACAGGACUAUGAAGAGCUAGAAAAGCAGCUGAAAGAAGUCUUUAAGGAGCGAAGCACCAUUCUUCGUCAGCUGACAAAGACAUCAAGAGAACUUGAUGGAAUUAAAGUCAAUCUUCAGUCCUUAAAAAACGAUGAGCAGUCUGCCAAAACUGAUGUUCAGAAACUUCUGGAAUUAGGACAGAAACAAAGAGAAGAAAUGAAGUCUCUUCAGGAGGCCCUGCAAAAUCAGCUUAAGGAGACAUCAGAGAAAGCAGAAAAACACCAGGCUACUAAAUCAAUGGCAACAGCUCAGACCUCUCCUGUCAUCAAGGUAACAUCAGUGCAGUACAAAAGCCCUGCUAGAAUGAGAAGUAAUGGGAAUGAAAAGUUCCAGGCUUCAAGAGGCUAUGCUGACUCUGGGAAAUUGCUCUGUUUCUCCCUAAAAAUACUUUGUUCCAAAUUGGCACCAGUUAUAACUAGCAGGAACUGUAGAUCUGACUUCCUACAAGCAGUCACCAAAUGUAAUUAUUUGAGUUUGGACUUACAAGCUUUACAUUUGACCCUUCAAGUGGUACCCAGAGUUGGGGCACCGAGUACAUCAAUGUAUUAACUCAUCUUUGCUGGUGGGCACAUUUUUCAUCGGCUGGCACCUGGUAUAUGACUGUAUUUUUAAUUUAGGCUCUCACAAAUCCCACAAAGUUAUGAAGGCGUUGUAAAAUAUAUGUCUCAGGGAAACCUAAAACCAAGAAGCAUAUUAUAUAUUUUAUAAUUUUAUGUUUUUAGAUUAACUUCCCAUCGUAAUUGCAUGCAUGCAUGUUUGAUAUAAAAAUUAUAAAAUACAGGAACAUAGAAAAUAGUAUGUUUUAUUAUUUUACCAUGGGAAAAAAGUAGUCAGAAUUCAUGGGCCUAUCUAAUAAAUACAUUCCUGGCCCUUCUGUAUAAAUAAUAUGGGAUGUUUUUCUUUCCACUUAGUAUACAUAUGCAAUUUUUCAUGGUACCAAAAAUUCUGCAUAAAUAUCAUAUUAACGACUGCCUAUUUGUAACGCCUUCCCCUAAUGUGAAGAAUAAAAUAUGUGUAUAUUUGUAUAUAUACAAAUAUAUAAUAUAUAAACAUGUGUAUAUAAUUAUAUAAUAUAUAAAAUAUAUAUUUGCAUUAUACUAUAUAAUAUUAAUAAAUUAUAAUAUAUGCAUUUAUAUAUUAUAUACCAUAUAGAUCUAUAAUAUAUAAAUAUAUAUAUUAUGUAUUUAUAUGUAAA